GAUGAAGAACGUAGCGAAAUGCGAUACGUAAUGUGAAUUGCAGAUCUCUCAGUGCACCAUCGAAUUUUUGAACGCACAUAGCGCCCGCCGGUCAUUCCGGCGGGCAUGCCUGUCCGAGCGUCGAUGACGCCGCUCGAGCCCCCGUGCUCGGUGUUGGGGCGCUAGGUCUCCCAGAGGCCUAGGCCCCCAAGUAGCAGUGCGCGGUCCGGCUGCGGGCCCCGGGUACAGUAACUUCACUGUUGAGAUGCCCUGGGAGCCGCUGGCUGGGUAAGCCGUAAAACCCCCGACAUAGGCCUUCCUGUCCGCCCCCGGCGGGGAGGGAGACCGCCUAAUGUUGACCUCGGAUCAGGUAGGACUACCCGCUGAACUUAAGCAUAUCAAUAAGCGGAGGA
rnacentral:misc_RNA from 1 species